rnacentral:rRNA from 1 species
GGCGGUGCUGGAGCACACUCUCAGCGUAGUAGUUUUCUUCUCGCUUCUGUAGUGGCCCUGGCAGCCUGCCGUAAAACACCCAAAUCUUAGUGGUUGACCUCGG